CCAAUGUGAAAUAAGUAUGUUUAAGCAUGUGUUAUAAUGAAUGGUGCAAGAGGUUCACUAGACCCACUGGGAUCACCCCUCACACAACAGCAACUAACCGACCCCGGACUCCCUCACAACCCAUAACCGCAUAUACCACAUUUGGGGUAAAAGGGGAGGAGAAGUAAGGAUGCCAGGCAUCACCCCCUGGCGACAUAAGUACAAGACGCAGCCCAAUACACAAAACCCG